rnacentral:lncRNA from 1 species
UGGGUGAGUGAGAAACAACUCAGACUUUAGUGUUGCCAAUUGGUUAUGGUAUAGCUGUUGGUGGAUAAGAUGUUGCUAGGUGAUGAAUUUUCCCCUGUUCUGUAGGUGGUAAACUCUAUUGUGGCAGUGAUGUGGGCAUGAGGUCGCUCUUCCUUCCCCUGGGGAAUAAAAGCAGUAAUCACAGUGUCGGGCUGAGAGUCAUCGUUAAGAAUGCGAACGGUCGCACAACCAACACAACACUGUCUACACAGGUUAGAGAUGCCGGCUCUAAUUCCACCAUCCAGGAUUUACGGACUCUUGUGUCUCAGUACGUGACUCAGCUGAAUGGUUCGUCCUCAGCCUCAGUGUUGGCUCAGAUGUUUCUGUCUGUUUCCACUAAUCUGAACAAAGAUCUGAGCAACAAAGAAGAGAAGAAAAAGCUGCGGGAGGAGAUGUUGGGACAUAUGUGUGAUGCUAUGACUGCUGGAGAACCGCUCGUGGUUCUAACAGAGGCAGAGACGACUGCUAACACUGUCUUCAGCCUCGUCACACUGAAGGAUGAGAUCACCACUAACGCUGAGGUACCAAAAGUACUCAGAAAACUCCAUAUGUGUGUGGAUAUUAAUUAUUAAGGUAAGCUUUACUUAUGUAAACGUCUUAACUUUUAACGUUUUUAAUCCGCAGAUGAACGCAUGUUGUGUUCUCAACAAGGUCAGCACGUCCCUGACGUCCACCUCACACACUGAAGGAGAUGAUUCUGCACUGAUGAUGCAGGUAGCCACGCCCAUUUUUCAGGCUGCAGGUAUCAUCCUCGAAGUGUCUGCAAACUCAGAUAAACAGGUAGAGAACUAUGAUGUAAUUACUUUACAUUAACGUAUUUUCCAAACUCUAAGGUGCACUUAAAAUAUGAA